AUAAAAACCCAAAAAACCCUUCUCUCCCAAAAGUCACCACCACCAACUUUUUUCCCAUUUCAAAUUUUUUUCCUCAAAAUUUCUCACUCUCUAACACUUAUAACCCAACCCCUUUACUAAGCUUUCACCACAAAUAUUUUCAUCCCAAACCCCUUGCUUCACAUUCAAGCUCAACACCAUCUCUACCUAGCUUUUUUCACAUUUUGUGGGUAAUGAUUUUAACUUAAACUUUUUAACUUUUUGUUUCUUUUUUUUUAUUAAAAAUGGUUGCUUGUUCUUGGCUGGUCUUUUGAGAUGGUUUAGAUUCAAGCUUGCAAAAAAUGAUUGACUUUGGUUUACUCACCUUUUUUCAAAUAUUUUUUACUCUUACUAUCUUUUUUCACAUUUUUGUGGUUACUUUGUGUGUGUUAUCAUUUUCUUUUAUUAUGGACUUGUUGUUGUAUUUGUUUGGUUGAUGAGGUCUAUUAGAUCAUGACCAUGAUUGUUUAGAGUUGAUUAAAUCUUCAAUGUUUCAAACCUAUCUAUGGUUGAUCAAUAAAUCAUUCACGAUACUUUGAGGCAUUGAUAGAUUGCCUAUAUUUUAACCAUAUUUGGGUCAUUU
rnacentral:lncRNA from 1 species